CGAUAGCCUGCAAUGAACAAGACAAAAGCAGCUUUAAUAGCAAUGGUCUAAGUCGUCGAAAAACUAGUUUGGAACAUAACGUGGUCUCAGUUUGAAAGCUUAACUUUAGAUGCUCCCGGAAAACGAAAAAGGAAUGCCUCACUUCAUAAGAUUACUCUGUAUUACCAAUGUAACAACGUCCAGGAUUCAUAAUGGUAAAAAAGACUGAGGGAAGCAGAGGGGAACAUUGGCCGACGACAUCAAACUAUGGGCAACAUCUACCAGUUCAGUAGAAAUAAAGAGAAAGACUGAAAAUCGUAGUUUGUGGAAGAACCAGGUUGUCAUAGCAGGGCCGUAAAUCCCGGGGGGGACGGGGGGGACUGGACCCCCCAAAAAUCUGGAGCAAAAUGAUUUUUUUUGAUGAAUUAUCAUCAUUUUCUUUGAAAGAAACAAAUCUCUGGUAGCCAGGUUUGAACCAAACUACGUUUUUCUGUGUUAUUGCAACAAAACCCAGCCACUAAGUCAUGGUGUCAAGUGCAAGUUGACUUAUGCUGAUAGCCGUUAUCUUUCUAAGCAGAGUGGUUUUUAUCUGUUUUUUAUCGUUUUUUAACGUUUUAUUUUUGAAAACAGAAUAUGAAAUAAAAAGAAAGCAAACUGAUAUUUUAUUUGACAUAUUUACCAACUUAUUUACGCAUAUUUCUAUUAUUUGUUUAUUAUUUGCUUUUAUUUAGUAAAUCACUUUCUGUAUCAUUAGAAUGUAUUCAUUUUCGAUCUGUAAACAUGGUCUUCAAAACACUGAAAAUAAGGAAGACGCACAUUUCUGUUCAAGAAGCAAAAUUCUACUAAUCAAUGCAACAUCAUCCCUACUUUCCCCAACGUCUGUCACUAGAGUUUAAGCAUGGCUCUUCCCCUAUACAAUUUCGCUCAAUAAACAAUAAUCUGUGUUCUUCUGAGAAACGUUGAAUUUUUUAUUCUGAGCGAUCUAAUAAUUUAUUAAAUUUAGUCUGGGAGGUGCUUUUUUAGCCUUUCUAGAAGGUAUAAUUUCAAAAAUUUUCUUUUGCGUCGGACCCAACCAUGGUGGGUCCUCCUACGUCACUAAACCUGAUUCUAGCUCCCAAGGUCCAAUUUCGCGGGCCGUCUCUGAAAAAUUUUAUCUAUCAAAUUAUACACACAUGUCAGAUGUACUAAGUCUUAAGAAAUCCCAAAAUCUUGACUUUUGUUUUUCAAGUCAUUUGCCCCUCAACUGUUUUUAUAACACAUACCAUAAAUUGCUUGGUGGUGCCAUGAACCACGGCACACUUUAGAUUUAUUUACCCUGCUGACCCCCCCUUGUUCACGUGAUAGAUUUACGGCCCUGUGUCAUAGCCAGCGUGCAGACUCGGAAAUUAAAUAAGUAAAGUCUGCGCAACCCAGACGAUUUUCUUGUUCACCGGUUCCUCAGAGUCAAGGAACCGAAUUUGAUUGGUUGGGGGGAUUGUCAUUGUUUUUUUCAAUUUUAAAAAUGGCGUCUUCGAAGCAGACAUGAAUCGAACCAGGAAACGUUCGACGAAGCACUGCAACUUAAGAGUGCAAUGAAUUCCGUAGAUGAGAUAUAACCUUAUCAGAGGUUAGCCCCGACAGAGUACUUCAAAAAGAGAAAGAACGUUCUCCCCUUUUCAAUUUCCAAGUCUGCACGCAGGCUAGAUUGUCAACCUUCGGACCGAAGACAAUGCAUGACGGUGAUGAUGACAAUGAUUAUGAUGAUGAUGAUGAUGAUGGUGAUAAUGGUGAUUGCUUGCUAUUAAAAGCCAUUUUCAAAUAAAAGAAACUUCACUGAAAAGGAAACAUAUUUCUUUCAAGAAACGGCCCACCACAACCUUGUUUGAUCUAAAUUAAAUUAUUUAGAAACCUAAAGAUAGGCAGAACAUCAUCUUAUGUUUCAUGACUAUUUAAAUUUGAUUCAUGCAAGAGCAUUUACUAAUAUGUUAGACAAGUCAACAAAAAUUAGAAUCUUUUUUCAUUUUUUUCCCCCAGUAAGACGGAGUCAGCAAACAUUUUGCAAAAACGUUGAUUAGGGGGUACGAUAGUGAGUCUGGUACCCAGGGUAGGGGUACGAGAACAAUUUUACACUUUUUGCCUCUCCCUCCCACCGCCCACCCCCCCCCCUCAAUUUAGAAUUUGUGGCGUAGAAGUCGUUCAGGAAUUGUCAGCUUAUAAGAUUUAGCUUUGUUUGAGAGGGGAUGGGGUCACGUCGAUGAUAGUCAUUGCUUCAUACUUCUUACACGAGUCAACAUCAAAAGAUUUCAAAAUGUUUUCCAAAUGAAAACAGAGUGAUUUGUUGCUGAGGUGAGCCCUUUUUCACAGCGAUAAAAUUGGGGAACAAGCAAUGGCGUAACAGAAUACUCAGGCUCAAAAGAAAAUCAGAGAAGGGGCCACUAUUUACGGACAGAAAAAUCACCCCACCCAAGGGUGUAAAGAAUGUAAUCUGUUAUUUUAGUAGCAGAGCUAUUUGCGAAGUUAAAGAUCUUUUUGAAAAUAAAAUGAACAUGGAUAUAAUUUGGGGGCUUUCUUUUCAUCGGGGCCCCCCUAGCUAUUGAACUUAGGUACUUUAAACUGCGUUACGCCCUGAACUUUCCGCUAAAAAUGUUAAAAUUGUAAUAUGUGAAAAAUCAAACUUUGAUUUUUCUUGUUCGAAUGGCCUUUCUUCAAACGUAGUCUUUGCAGGCAGAGAAAAAGAAAAGUUUUUAUUUUGUCAUCUUUGCUUUGGAAAAGAUAGUGUACUUUGCAUUUUUGAUCUGCGUUUGUAUUCUUCCAAAAAUUAUCAAAUUCAAAAUAUUAGGGCAAUUUUCUAACCCGAAAUGAAACCAAAUAAGAAACUUUUAGUAAUGAAAUAACUCUAUAGAUGCCCUGAAACGUGCUAAACAAUAUUCUAUAUAGAGGUAAUAAAUUGUGGGAAUUUUAUAGAAAUUGACAGGGAAUUUUAUAGAAAAAACAAAUAACUGCCCAACUUCAAAUUUUAUUUCUCAUACCUAGAACGAAAAGAAAUAGCAAUUGCAUUGCUUACACCCGUAUCAUUUAUGAACAAAUUAAGAAUAAUCCAGCCUUGGAUUUUCGAAAAAAACAAGAACAGUCUGAACUUAAAUUUACUGGUUCUUAACAAAAGAUAAAACGUGUAAUGUUUUGAAAAAUCAGUAUUCACCACGAAAAAAUCAGUAUUUAUAAGAACACGAGCCUUGAAAUUAGUCAAAAGUCAAGAACAAAUUAAGAAGGAGCUGAGACUGAGCUUCUACAAAAAGCAAUUUUGAGCAAAGCUUCAUCUCAAAAACGAGGAUUUUUAGCCAUGUGUGGAUGCUUUUCGGCGAAUAUUCAAACUUGUCGGCAAAAAAGGUUGUCUUACUCACUUCGUUGGCAAUUGAGGCCUGAACACCUCCCUAGAGCGAAAAGCUAGAAAUCGCACUACUUACACCCUAUCAAUUUAAGAACAAAUUAAGAACACCCAAGCCUCAGAUUUUCGAAAAAAUUAAGAACAUUUAAAUUUACUGGUUCUGAUAAAAAAGACAGAAGAGCGUACAUAAAUUAGUAAAUACUAAAAAACUACGUAUUAAAAACAACGGAAUUAGUAAUCCCCUCGACAAAUACUACCGAUAAACUACAGCAAGAUUAGAAAUCGUAUGCCGUAGUUUAUGGAUAACCUUUUAAGAACCACUUGAUAGAUCAUAAUUUUUGUUAUGCAGAUGGCCUACUAACAUAAAGAAGCACAAAUGGUCAAGUUCUACGAAAAACGAACCUGUUUUCUUUUUCUCUGUGUGACCAGAAUCAAUGAGUUGCCAAUCUGUUCCAAGAAUGAAGAAUCAAUGAGUCGCACUUCACUUCCUCGCUGCUUCAACUUUCACAUGACCAGAUGACAUCAAAAAAGAAUGAACACAGCACAGCAGGGGCGCUUUAAUAAAUGUUCUUUAGAAUUUUGACAAUAAAAUCCGAAAGCGUGCUUUGCAGAUAACUUGCAAUAUGCAGAAUCACAAAACAUGUGGAGACCCCCAGGAGAUCUGAGAUCUGUGUCCCCAUGUUCCCAGAAAAUUUUCAAUAAUCUUCCCUGUUUCUUCUGACAUUUUUAAAUGUUUCCUUGAUCUCGAGAUGUUCCUAUGCUCCAUAAUAAAAAACAGCAGGUUUCCCCUCCCCUACCAACCACCGAGAUUUCCUCAAGGUGCAACCUUCCGAAUAAACAAACCCCGUGUGAAAUAUUUUGUAACAAUUAGGCCAUGAUUCGCACACAAGACAGUGUUGACAGGCACCGCAGCGCAGGGCCUGGGCCGCAGGGGGGCUGGAGGGGGGCUUUGGCCCCCCACUUUUUGUAAAACGUGCAAAAGAUUAAAAAGUGAACCACCAGUAAAGUCUCUUUUAUUCGGUUUUAGCCCCCGCGCUUUUUUAGACCCCCCAACUUUUCGCAACGCCCCGCGGUGCCUGGUUGAAAGCUUGAUUAAAUGAAAUUGAAUCACGUUUAAUAUGUGACAGGGUACGCCUUUUAGGUGCCCCUUGGGCUUUUGUUUUUUGGGCACAGAUUGCACAAUUGUGGAGUUUGUGUUUAUUGUAGCAGUGCUCGAGUAAGCUUUACAUUGUGUUUUUUAUACGGCUAAAGCAACCAGCGUGCAAGUGUGCAUUGGCUUUGGGUAUAUAAACUUUGUCUCAGCACAGUUUCAUUCUCACACGUUGCACGACAACUUGAAGUUGGACUUUGGAGAGGAAAGGGUUUUCCUUUGCGACCCUGCCCACCCAACCCUUGUCUAGAAAUUUUCAGGGGUUUUUAUUUACAUGCAUGUUGACUUACUACUUAUUUUCGUGCAUUAGUUAAUGGCCGUAUGGCUUGCGACUUUUUGCAUGAACAAGGUGCUGCUAGUCGGCGGAAGAAGGCCAUUGUUCUUCUUCUCAACCCCCUCAAAAACGGUUGGGGUUUUAUUUAUGGCCGUCUUUGCGAUUGGCGCACCGACAGCCGAAAACUAAAUGGUUCAAAUGAUGAGAGAACACCACCUUCAGUCUUAUGAUUGACAAUGGUAAAACAUUCUGAGGACCAUCCUACCCUUAUUUGCUAAUGGUUUUUGUUUAGUAACCUGGAACAAAUAUUAAGACAGUUUAGCACUGGAAUGGUGCAAAAGAUCGUGGUCUAAAAGGAAAGAUUAUCGAACAAAAGAACGCGAAAAAUCUUCAAGGGAAUUACUCUCAAUUACCCAAAUCAGUAAACUCUAAUUGACGCCCAGGUGACUUCGAUGUUUCCGGCGGAUAGGUGGCUGAAAUCCUUUACUAAUCCACUACAUUUUACACUAUCAGCUUUUUUGGUUAUUCUACCUAUCAUAGUUCCAGAGCCACAUACACUCGAGCGCGGAAAUAGAAGAUAGAAAAUGAGUCAAUCUGAGAAGAAGAAAAAGCGCAACUUUUCCUUCUUCUCAGCUAGACGCUUCUCCACUUGGUGGCUCUGGUACCCAGGCAUAGGCGUAGACUUACAUUUUUUUCAGGGGGGGCUCAAAAAAUUAAUGACAAUUCCUGAUGGCAGCUGCUGAUGUCACAGGAUAGAAAGUGGAUUAGCUAAGGUCUUACAGGUGACUUUUCCGUGCAUUUUUUAUUAUCGAGGAAGAAGAAACACACAAAUGAAAUUGAAAGUUUAUUUUUAAAUCAUUAUCAGUUUUUUAGGUCGAGAUCAUCAGUUCUAUUUAGGCACCGAAAACGUACUCUUUCUCACGGCAUUUCUUGAUAUGAAGGUGUCAACCGUAAUAGUGCUAGUUUGGAUUUCGUUUGUUUUGCAUCCUGUAACCUUAGUAAUUUUAUCACCAUUCGCACAUUCGAUUGUUUAUAAUUCCUUUUGUUAUCUAAUUGCACCUUUAGAUUCAUUAACAAUUUCUUUUGGGAUUUUUAGUAUCAUUAUUCAGUUUAUGUAAUUAAUCUUGGAUGUAAUAUAUUUUGCAUUCACUAUUAUUAUGUAAAUUUACGUAGCUAUGUAGCAUUACAAUAAGUUCUUGUUUAGUUAUAUUUUGGGCGUGUUACAUUUUAGAGUUUUUGAGUUCGUUGGAGUUGAAGUUGGAAAUGGAAUUCGGUUAAGAGCGUUUACGUUAAGUUUUGAUAUUUUGUAUAUUUAGGUUCUCGACGUUUUAUAAAUGCGGCAAGAUGCUUGUGAAAGAUCUUGUCGACAUGAAGUAUGGGUUUAUAGAAUACAUACUUGGAUUUAUGGAAUCGCGCGUGAUGAUUUAUUGAUUGUGCAUUACUAUAGUAUAGUUUGAACGGACAGUGCUUGUGAAAGACUGUGCCUGUUAUUAAAAGAGAACGAUCGACGUUACGGGUCAACCGUAGAGAAACAUUGUGAAGUUUAUAAGCUUUCGCGGAAAGAUCACAUGAUCGGAAGAUGGACGUUUGAAACAUUAUUUAUUUGUCUCUUUGUCUCAAUUCUCAUUGAAGGACUAGUUUAUAUCGACGGUAACGACAGGGUGGAUGUAUUCGUUUUGGCAAAAAACCCUAUUACACAACCUUAUGUUCACAAUAAUUUCAUACUUUAUUUUGCUGUAAAUGCAAUUAUCUAAUGCAACAAAUCUUAUGCGUGAAACUAAUAAUGUAAGAAACUUAUCUAAAAAUUGGUAAAGCAUUUCCUUAUUUUCCAGGGGGGGCUCAGCCCCCCCGGUUUUCGUCAGGAGGGGCUGAAGCCCCAGAGCCCCCCCUAAGUUUACGCAUAUGUACCCAGGUACUAUUUGUAGAGUACACAAUGAAAGGGACAUCUACCAUAGGAUAGUGGGGAGGAUGAGUACUUCCAUAUAUUACAAAAAAAGGUCCGUCUGCUUUUAAAAAUAUCUGAAAUGCAUUGGGUAGGUUCAGUCAUAGUUUGUAAGGAGGAUUAUUACGAUGAAAUGGUUUAUAAACGGGCGUAUGUGAAAUAUAGAAAGGGUGCGGUCUAGAAACAUUUUCCUGAUCGACUUGGGCUACACUUGGUACUCCUCGUUCUCUUGGGUUACCUUUGUGCUUUCAUUUUCUCUUGAGAUCAACUAAGCAGAAAACCUUACUGCAUUCAUGACCGCCGAGAGGGAGCCAAGGGGGGCAAAAUGCCCCGAUUUUUGUUACCUAUAAUCAAUUCCAAAAUGGAAUUGAUUAUAAGUAACAAAAAUAGGCCCAUAUUCUGAUUUUUUCCAAAAAAGGUCACCCAAAAGGGUGCGGAGACCCUAAUUGCAUUAAUUCUGUUUUGGCGCAGUUAAAGGAAUUUUUGUUGAUUACCACAACAGAAAAGUGAAUGUACACUUUCGGAUAAAAAAACUUUACAGUCAACAUGAUCUUGAACAAAAAUCCGCCGUGACAUCAGAGAAAGCAAGAGGAAAAAGGGAAUCCAAAAUCACCAUAGAAAAACGAGACUAGCGAGAAUUUUGAACGAGAUAGUCUUGCACAACCAAAGAUUAUUUUAUCAAUUAAGUGUUCAAACAGGCUUUUGAUAAACCAAAAGGAAGGUGACAGCAUGGUUGGCAUAGUGCAGAAGAAAAGCGUAGUAAUCACGCGUAAGAUUUGAAGAGUCAAGGUUUGAUAGCGAUUACCGAUUAAUAUCGCUGCUUCAUACGUCGUUAUACGUACGAACAGUUAGAAGCAGUAUAUCUGGUAACGAUAUAGUUGCAAUAAGUCCAUUAUAGCCCCGGUUUCACCGUUUCUUGGUAAACAAUAACCGUGUAUUUCUAACGUCAGUUUGAUUUGUUAUACUACACACUCUAGGUAACCCUGACCUAUUAACGCUUUUUCGUGUUUGACUGAAUCUUUUUUGUAACUUACUGGUAACCUUUUAGGUACUUUUAAUUGUAAAUUACGGUUAUUUUCUUUGACGGAUGCAGCAAAAUUCAAUGCAUAACUUCUCUCAUUUUCAAAACCCACACGAGAUUAUCACAAAGAAUGUAUUUGAGUCUUCAACCGUUCAAAUACAAGAUAUAAAAAGGCACAAUAAGAUUUUGUUCAAAAAUAUUCUCAGCUCUGAAACAAAAGGAAAACGUUUAAAGUUUUGAAAAAUUGUUUCUCAUUUCUGAAUACUAUUUUUACCAGCUAUCUGUACUUUGAUUUCAUCAUAUCCGUUCCAUCCGUACGACCAAUCUAUACUAUGAAUUCACCAGCUCAUUCCCAUUCCCACAGCAAGAAUACUCAGUAUCUAAACAAAGCACUUUUAAACAGAUAUUCUGAACAAGUCAAGUUAAUACACCAUUUCACCGCAAUUCAUUUAAUACUAGACACUCUGCGCAUAAAAACCUGUACUAAAGAUUUCAAAUCAGGCGAAAGAUAUUACAUUUACAGCAACAUGUAGGCUGUGAGGAACAUUUAGGGAAGUUUGGUCGUAAAAUAAAUUGUCAUUUUCUGUUGAGCUCAAAGAAUUUCUAAUCAAAAGAUGCCAAGAAUGAAGUUACUACAGCUUUCAGUUUCUCAUCACUGGCCUGCGAGAUAUGUCCUUCUGUUUGGAUAGCUUUCAGCAGCUCUUGCUGUGUUGAGCGAAUGUGUUUCACAAAGGCACUUUCAAAUGCAGUGAUUCUUGCGGGUUCCAGUUUGUCCAAAUAUCCUCUUACACCAGCAUAGAUAACUGUGACUUGCUCAGCGAUGUCCAUUGGUACUAAUGACACAAAAGAUAAUUGUUAUAAUAUCUAUUUAUAAAAAAAUCGCCGCAAAGUUGAAAUGGUAGAUAUAAAAAACAUAUCAUAGUAACCAUUUCAGAACGAAGGAUGCACAUACCAUAUUGUCCUUGUUUCAAUAAUUCAGUAAGACGGACUCCUCUGUUCAGUAAAGAUUGUGUUGCUGCAUCCAAAUCUGAUCCAAAUUGGGCAAAUGCAGCUACUUCACGGUACUGGGCAAGCUCUAGCUUCAUAGACCCUGCAACCUUUGGAAAAAGAAUUUUAAAAAACAAGGUUAAUUGCGUACAAAGCAAACAAAUAAGCACAAGGCAGUAUGAUAUAAUUCAAGGGUUACCAAAGCAAUUACUGCUUGCUAUUUAUGUUAUGUGCCAAAUAACAUACGGAUUGACAUGCUUUUGACUGAUUGGCUGCUUAGACAAGCCAUUCAAUAUGACAAUGUUUCACAAGACAAAACGAGCUCAUUAUCAAAAGAUAUAGGUAAACAAUUAUAUGUUAACGACUAUGCAGCGAAUCACUGUUGUUUUAGGAUCAUAAGGUUAAUUUUCACAAAUAAUUUUCAAUUUUUCCUUAAGGUUAAAGGCAAUCUGUCACGGCGUUGAUGAUUAUAAGAACAAAGGGAUUCUUUAUUGUUUUCAGUCCCCCUUUAAUUCCUCGCAACGUAAAAAAUAUGGCGGAGCGCUGGAAUCGUGUUUAGGCUAUUGUUCCAGCUAUUGUUCUCGUUAACCAAUCCACAACGAGACUGUUUAUUGGAAUGAGGAUAUAGAUAAAUUUUUGUAAGCUAAAGUAAGUUAUUAAUGUUUAGAUGAAAGCCUGGCAGACUUAAUGUUUUUUUGCUUUGAUAUGAACGGCCUGGUACAAUUCUACCCACCUAUAGAAAAUUCCCAUAAGUUUUAUACAUGCAUGCAAGUUUGAUUCUAAAUUCUUCUCUCAAAUUGAAAUAGGAAAGUACAAUCAACAUUUUUGACUUCAAAAUGUACCUGUUUCAUUGAUUUGGUCUGAGCUGCAGAUCCUACUCUGCUGACUGAAAGACCUACAUUAAUAGCAGGACGGAUUCCUUUGUAGAACAACUCAGUUUCCAAAAAGAUUUGACCGUCAGUGAUUGAGAUGACAUUAGUUGGAAUAUAUGCUGACACAUCACCAGCCUAGAAAAACGAAAUAAAUAUAUUUAAAUGUACACUUCCAAAAAGGGUAUCUAAUUGUAUUAUCUAAUUGCACUAUCUAAUUGCACUAUUCUACAUCACCUCAAUGUUACAUGUCUAUUGGUAAAGAACAACAAAUAACAAUAUCCUAUGUCAUAUAAGUGGAUUGCAAUGGCAUUGUAUUAACCUGGGUUUCAAUGACUGGCAAAGCAGUGAGAGAUCCUCCUCCAAAGUUGUCAUUCAUUUUUGCAGCUCUCUCAAGCAAACGUGAAUGGAGGUAAAAGACAUCUCCUGGGUAGGCUUCACGGCCUGGAGGACGACGCAGCAACAAAGACAUCUGUCUGUAUGCAACAGCCUGCAAAGGAGUAAAAUCCAUACAAAAGCAGCCCUUACCAAGUCAUGAAAUUAUUAUGUUUAAGGUUACGGUAAACGUUUUCUGGAUGAAAACAUCCCUUUUUCGAUUUUUUCACAUUCAAGUAGCUGAACUUUUAAGGCACACAAUGAUAACAAAUUUGAAACAAACAGAAAUUUUGAAAAUGGAACAAAUCUCAUGUAAACGAAGGUUUCCAUAAUUUCUUUAUCAGAACUUUUAUCUGAGGCCUGAAAAUCUCUUGACCUAUUAAGCCGAUUAUCGAUGCUUUGCGGUCGCAUGUCUCAUUUACAAUAUCGCUUGACACAUCCAUGUUUCCAAUGUACGUCCCUGUUUAUUUAAACAGGCUUAUUGAUCUUGAAGCUUCAAGUGACUUGACCAGGAUUACACUUUGAUUUACGAGUGUACCUUGCAAGCGAGAUCAGUUAAAUCCCGUUUAUCGUAACCUUAAACAACAUUCCAAGAACGUUUAUCGUAACCUUAAACAACAUUCCAAUUGUGCUUGAUCUUGCCUGUUGUGAUAUUGACUUGAGAGUCAUUUUAAUGAUUGACUAGUACCAUGCUGCAACUGUACUGUUGAUGUGAUUUGUGGUCCAGGAAAGAUUUAUUUUGAAAAUCAUUUUUACAUUGAAUAAGCUUUACUGCCCAAGAUUCUGCUCAAACUUAGAGAAGCCAAUCAAUCAACUAAGAAAAUGUAGAGCACAAUUCAAAUGCCUUGACAAAAUAGUACAAAGUAUACUUUUCUGGAUGCUUUUCUCAGAAAAAAGAAUCUAAAUUAAAUAUUGUUUAAGUUGCACUUGGUUGAAAAUAAUUAUGAUGCAUUAGUUAAUUUAUGAUGCUACCUAAAUAUGUGAAGGGGCAUAUCAAGUAUAUCAAUUUAAACUGUAUCAAGUGACAGGGAUCAAUUUACACUGUAUCAAGUGCCAGGGAUCAACAAUUUGAAAUUUAAAUAAGUUCCAUAAGAUACCAACCUGUUUAGACAAAUCAUCAUAGAUAAUCAGUGCAUGCUUGCCAUUGUCUCUAAAGUAUUCACCCAUGGCACAACCAGAGUAUGGGGCAAGGUAUUGCAAAGGAGCUGCAUCAGAAGCUGUGGCACUGACAACUAC